CCUACGGGAGGCAGCAGUGGGGAAUAUUGGACAAUGGGGGAAACCCUGAUCCAGCGACGCCGCGUGAGUGAAGAAGUAUUUCGGUAUGUAAAGCUCUAUCAGCAUGAAAGAAAAUGACCGUAACUGACUAAGAAGCCCCGGCUAACUACGUGCCAGCAGCCGCGGUAAUUCGUAGGGGGCAAGCGGUAUUCGGGUUUACUGGGUGUAAAGGGAGCGUUGACGGCGGGGCAAGUCUGAAGUGAAAUGCCGGGGCCCAACCCCGGAACUGCGCUGGAAACUGUGAAGCUGGAGUGCAGGAGAGGUAGGCGGAAUUCCUAGUGUAGCGGUGAAAUGCGUAGAUAUGAGGAGGAACACCAGCGGCGAAGGCGGCUUGCUGGACUGUAACUGACGUUGAGGCUCGAAGGCGUGGGGAGCAAACAGGAUUAGAUACCCCAGUAGUC
rnacentral:rRNA from 1 species